CCUACGGGUGGCAGCAGUGGGGAAUAUUGCACAAUGGGGGAAACCCUGAUGCAGCGACGCCGCGUGAGGGAAGAAGGACCUCGGGAUGGAAAGCCACAGUAGCAGGGGAGAAAAAAGACGGUACCUGAGGAAGAAGCCCCGGCUAACUACGUGCCAGCAGCCGCGGUAAUACGUAGGGAGCGAGCGUUAUCCGGAAUUACUGGGUGGAAAGGGAGCGUAGGCGGGUGUGUAAGUCUGAAGUGAAAGCCCAGGGCUCAACCCUGGAACUGCUCUGGAAACUGUGGUGCUCGAGUGCUGUAGAGGUAAGUGGAAUUCCUAGUGUAGCGGUGAAAUGCGUAGAUAUUAGGAGGAACACCAGUGGCGAAGGCGGCUUACUGGACUGUAACUGACGUUGAGGCUCGAAAGCGUGGGGAGCAAACAGGAUUAGAUACCCCGGUAGUC
rnacentral:rRNA from 1 species